rnacentral:rRNA from 2 species
CUGACGGAGCACGCCGCGUGAGUGAUGAAGGUUUUCGGAUCGUAAAGCUCUGUUGUUAGGGAAGAACAAGUACCGUUCGAAUAGGGCGGUACCUUGACGGUACCUAACCAGAAAGCCACGGCUAACUACGUGCCAGCAGCCGCGGUAAUACGUAGGUGGCAAGCGUUGUCCGGAAUUAUUGGGCGUAAAGGGCUCGCAGGCGGUUUCUUAAGUCUGAUGUGAAAGCCCCCGGCUCAACCGGGGAGGGUCAUUGGAAACUGGGGAACUUGAGUGCAGAAGAGGAGAGUGGAAUUCCACGUGUAGCGGUGAAAUGCGUAGAGAUGUGGAGGAACACCAGUGGCGAAGGCGACUCUCUGGUCUGUAACUGACGCUGAGGAGCGAAAGCGUGGGGAGCGAACAGGAUUAGAUACCCUGGUAGUCCACGCCGUAAACGAUGAGUGCUAAGUGUUAGGGGGUUUCCGCCCCUUAGUGCUGCAGCUAACGCAUUAAGCACUCCGCCUGGGGAGUACGGUCGCAAGACUGAAACUCAAAGGAAUUGACGGGGGCCCGCACAAGCGGUGGAGCAUGUGGUUUAAUUCGAAGCAACGCGAAGAACCUUACCAGGUCUUGACAUCCUCUGACAAUCCUAGAGAUAGGACGUCCCCUUCGGGGGCAGAGUGACAGGUGGUGCAUGGUUGUCGUCAGCUCGUGUCGUGAGAUGUUGGGUUAAGUCCCGCAACGAGCGCAACCCUUGAUCUUAGUUGCCAGCAUUCAGUUGGGCACUCUAAGGUGACUGCCGGUGACAAACCGGAGGAAGGUGGGGAUGACGUCAAAUCAUCAUGCCCCUUAUGACCUGGGCUACACACGUGCUACAAUGGAC